rnacentral:rRNA from 1 species
GACGAGGUGGACAAACGUUAUUCGGAUUUACUGGGCUUAAAGCGUGCGUAGGCGGCUCAGAAAGUUGGGUGUGAAAGCCCUCGGCUCAACCGAGGGAUUGCGCUCAAAACUACUGAGCUUGAGGGAGAUAGGGGAGAGCGGAACUGAUGGUGGAGCGGUGAAAUGCGUUGAUAUCAUCAGGAACACCGGUGGCGAAGGCGGCUCUCUGGACAAUUGCUGACGCUCAGGCACGAAAGCGUGGGGAGCAAAAGGG